rnacentral:rRNA from 1 species
CCUACGGGAGGCUGCAGUGGGGAAUCUUGCGCAAUGGGCGAAAGCCUGACGCAGCGACGCCGCGUGAGGGAUGAAGGUCUUCGGAUCGUAAACCUCUGUCAGCAGGGAAGAACGGUCACUGUGCUAAUCGGCAGUGUAUUGACGGUACCUGCAAAGGCAGCACCGGCUAACUCCGUGCCAGCAGCCGCGGUAAUACGGAGGGGGCGAGCGUUAGUCGGAAUUACUGGGCGUAAAGCGCUCGUAGGCGGUGUGUCAAGUCAUGGGUGAAAGCCACGCGCGAAACUUGGGAAAUGCCUUUGAAACUGGCAAACUGGAGUGUGUGAGAGGAUAGCAGAAUUCCAGGUGUAGGAGUGAAAUCCGUAGAUAUCAGGAGGAAUACCAGUGGCGAAGGCGACUAUCUGGCACAUAACUGACGCUGAGGAGCGAAAGCGUGGGUAGCAAACAGGAUUAGAUACCCCAGUAGUC